CCUACGGGCGGCAGCAGUGGGGAAUAUUGGACAAUGGGGGCAACCCUGAUCCAGCCAUGCCGCGUGUGUGAAGAAGGCCCUCGGGUUGUAAAGCACUUUCAGUGAGGAAGAACGCCUGGUGGUUAAUACCCAUCAGGAAAGACAUCACUCACAGAAGAAGCACCGGCUAACUCCGUGCCAGCAGCCGCGGUAAUACGGAGGGUGCGAGCGUUAAUCGGAAUUACUGGGCGUAAAGCGCGCGUAGGUGGCUUGAUAAGCCGGUUGUGAAAGCCCCGGGCUCAACCUGGGAACGGCAUCCGGACCUGUCAAGCUAGAGUGCAGGAGAGGAAGGUAGAAUUCCCGGUGUAGCGGUGAAAUGCGUAGAGAUCGGGAGGAAUACCAGUGGCGAAGGCGGCCUUCUGGACUGACACUGACACUGAGGUGCGAAAUCGUGGGUAGCAAACAGGAUUAGAUACCCUGGUAGUC
rnacentral:rRNA from 1 species